rnacentral:misc_RNA from 1 species
UGGAAAAUUCUUUCACUUUGCUUUUUUCCUGAAUACCUAAGCCAAAAAUAAUAUUUAUCAUAAUAAAGCAAUAACUAAAGUAGAUUAUUAUUAUUAAAUAAAAAAAAAAAUGCAGUAAAUAAAGGCGAAUCAUAAGAAUACAAGUUGGCAAGAAUGGCGACUCUAACAUUGACUGAAACAGGUAGCACUACAACAAUGCAUAUGCAAGUCCAUCAGGAUGGACAUUCUCCAACUUUGGAGGAGCAGGCAAAUCAUUUGAAUGAACAGCAGCAGCAAUUAAUAAAUAUCGAUAACAUGGGGAGUAUUAACCACGGAUUAAACGAAGAUGUUGUAUCUAUACCCAAAGAGGUUAUGCUAAUAUCGCUGGUAUCGCAAGAGCAGGCUCUUUAUAAUCCAAAGCAUGAGUUCUAUCGUAAUACACAUCGAAAAGAUUCUAAGUGGUUAGAGAUUGCUGACAAUGUCGGUUGGACUGAGGCACAAUGUAAAUCAAAAUGGAAAGCCAUGCGUGACCAAUAUUGCCGUGAACUAAAACGCAGCAAAUUUAAUAUCAAAGCUAAUGUAAAAUGGAAAUAUUUCAAGGAAUUGGAAUUUUUACGACCUUUUGCUUUGUCGAGGAACUAUCGACCGCGCGCCACAAAUAAAAACGAAAAUUUAACUGGGUCGAACGGAAAAAAUACUUGUAACAAAUUACCAAGUAUUAAAAUGGAACAUGGUCAAUUUAGCGCGUCUGAUUUUACCGCUGAUAACGUUUUGAGUGCAGAAGAUAAACUUGACUCAACAACUUCAGGCCUUCUAAACUCAUUAAGCGAUGAGCAGCUGCACUCAGUGAUGCAGCAACACAGUGGAAGUUGGAAUUAUCUCACAACGACAACGACCACAAGUGAUGUUCACACUUUGGAAGGGAAUGAGCAUAGCCCUAAUGAACUCGACGACACUAAUUUAUUACAACAUACACACCAGAGCUCAGAAGCUGAUGAUAUGCUGUGCGCUUUGGUAGAAAGUGUACCGUCUACAAGUGUGCAAAUUCAACAAACACAAGCACACAAUGAGGAAGAAGACGACGAUCCCAUACACACGUUCCUCAAUAUAGAAAGUUUCUUCGAAAAAGACCUCAUUAACAUGAUUCAACAGGAAGAUAUUAUAUAUAAUAAUUUUCAUCCAAAUUAUCGCAAUGCUAAAAUGAAACUUGAAGUUUGGGAUGAAAUUGCACGCAAACUAAAAAAGCCAGUUGGGCGCUGUCGUUUGAAAUGGAAAGCACUGCGGGAUCAAUAUAUCAGAGAACAUAAACGACUGAAAGACCGUGAGCAUUCUGAAUUAUUGCCGCGUUGGAAGCACUAUGAUGCGCUUACAUUCUUGCAAAAGUUUAUAAAGCAUAAAACAAGCGAGAGUGAUGCUAAAAAUGCGGUACGAUUGCCUAAAACUGAAUUGGAGCUUGAUAUAGAUGAGCAUAUCAUCGAUAGUCCGCCAUUGCCAUCCCCUAUAGAAGUAGUACAACACGAUUUGGAUCAGCAAACAUUGCCAACACUGUCAGGUCCACAUACGCAACAUGACCUGCAUACAGCAACACAUGAUAUGUGCGUUGUUAGUGGCAGCAGUGUCAGCGGCUACGAUGAAAUGGAUAUUGAUCACUACAUUAUCGGACAUACAAGCGAUACUGGCGUCAAUGAUGAUGGGAUAAACAUUGAUACUGGCGAUGACGAGGAAGAUCGGAAAUCGCAUCAACAUUUUACAGAGUAUCCGCCAAGUUCAACAAAUAACAUGACUGCCAAUAACAGUGCAAAUCAACAAGAUACUGGUAGUGACGUAAAAACGGAGAUGAAUGAAUUCAAAGAUAUAAAAGAAAGUAACAUAAUGAUACAACAAGAUGAUGUAUCAUUACAAACACAACUACAUCAACAUCAACAGCAGUCAUCACAUCAGCAGCAGCAGUCACAGACACAGUUGGUGCUAUCACAACAACAUCAUCAGCCACCGUUAAUGAAGUUAACGCCGCAAACCACCACGCACCACCAACAUUUGCUCUCUUUAGAUGUUGGUGAUGAGACAAGAACUGCCACACUUACGACUAGGGAUAAAUCCCUCAUGCAACUGCAUCACCAACAGCAACCGCAACCGCAGCCGCAGCAACAAAUACAUGAUUUCAGUAAUGAAAUAAAGCAUCAACAGCCCCAACAAGCGCUUACAAGUGGUAUGGUGAAGAGCAGUAGUGCGAAUUUAACUUCCAACAACAACUGUGGCAUGUCAAUACUAAACCCUAGUACCUCACUCAGCAUCGAUUUACAAUCUUUGGCGAGUAGUUCGCAUAAUAGCUCGACGACAACAGCGAUCACGACGCAUGCCCCGUCCACCACAGUCACUGCCGCCUCUCUUCCAAUAGCUGAUAAUCAAAGAACGACCGACACUUUUGGAGACGAUGAGGUCGGCGCUUUCUUCAAAGCAGUUGCCAUGAAAAUACGCAAUGCCAAUAUGUCGCCGGUGUCUUUCACCGACCUACAAAUCGAUAUUUUACGCGUGAUAAACACUACAUUGCGCCACAAUUAGUUAGAAGCUCCUACAGCACAUCGCGCAUGUAAUUUUUUGUAUUAUCUUAUAUAAUAAAUUUUUCAUAUUUUACUAAGUUUAUUCUUUGAGCGUCUUACAAACAAGAAAUCUGUUGCAGAUAUGUUUUGUUGGUACGUGUUGAUUUGUGUAAAUAGGCUAUGUUUAGUUCUUCAGUACGUCUUGAAGUUAAUUUAAAUCAUAACACUAUUACGGAACAGUUUUUUUUUUAUUGUUUUAAAAGUUAUUAAAAGUAAAUUUCACGCGCAGAUAGCUGAAUUUUUUUUUUUAAUUUAUUCAAAAUUAAUGUUUUUUAACUUAAAUAAUCUUUACAUUAACUAAAGCUCUUCAUGAAUUAUUAUGCCGUUUAUAAAUUAUGUUAAAAGAAAUGGCUAGAUUUGUGCCAAAGUAGAUUAUAAAAAAGUGGACUUGAACUUGA